CUUGGUCAUUUAGAGGAAGUAAAAGUCGUAACAAGGUUUCCGUAGGUGAACCUGCGGAAGGAUCAUUAAUGAAUAAACUUUGAGGAUGUUGCUGGCCUUGUCUUUUGGGAUGAGGCAGGUGCACUCCUCGGAUAUUCUUUUGGCCACCUUUUACAAACCAUGUGCACCCUCUGUAGGUCUGGCCUUUUGUUCCAAACCUAUGUUUUAACCAUCUGCUCCAUGGAAUGUCAUUUGAAUGUUGAAUCUUCUUUGAUAAUACACAACUUUCAACAAUGGAUCUCUUGGCUCUCGCAUCGAUGAAGAACGCAGCGAAAUGCGAUACGUAAUGUGAAUUGCAGAAUUCCGUGAAUCAUCGAAUCUUUGAACGCACCUUGCGCCCCUUGGUAUUCCGAGGGGCAUGCCUGUUUGAGUGUCAUUGUAAUCUCUCAACUUUGGCCUUUGGUUUUUUUCUUAACCCAAGGCCUGUAGUUUGGAUGGUGGAGGUGUGCUGGCUUGCUCUCCUGUCGGUCAGCUCCUCUGAAAAGAAUCAGCAAAGGGAAACGCACCUGUUCCUGCAUCUUGUGCUUCUGGCAUUGAUAACUGUCCAUGCCUGUUAUGGCUCAGAUGCCUUUUGGAUCGGUUGAGCGUCUUUGCUUACAGUUGUCCUUUGGACAUUUUUGACAAAUCACCUCAAAUCAGGUAGGAAUACCCGCUGAACUUAAGCAUAUCAAU
rnacentral:rRNA from 1 species